rnacentral:rRNA from 2 species
CGGGCGUUAAGUUGCAGGGUAUAGACCCGAAACCCGGUGAUCUAGCCAUGGGCAGGUUGAAGGUUGGGUAACACUAACUGGAGGACCGAACCGACUAAUGUUGAAAAAUUAGCGGAUGACCUGUGGCUGGGGGUGAAAGGCCAAUCAAACCGGGAGAUAGCUGGUUCUCCCCGAAAGCUAUUUAGGUAGCGCCUCGUGAAUUCAUCUCCGGGGGUAGAGCACUGUUUCGGCUAGGGGGCCAUCCCGGCUUACCAACCCGAUGCAAACUGCGAAUACCGGAGAAUGUUAUCACGGGAGACACACGGCGGGUGCUAACGUCCGUCGUGAAGAGGGAAACAACCCAGACCGCCAGCUAAGGUCCCAAAGUCAUGGUUAAGUGGGAAACGAUGUGGGAAGGCCCAGACAGCCAGGAUGUUGGCUUAGAAGCAGCCAUCAUUUAAAGAAAGCGUAAUAGCUCACUGGUCGAGUCGGCCUGCGCGGAAGAUGUAACGGGGCUAAACCAUGCACCGAAGCUGCGGCAGCGACACUGUGUGUUGUUGGGUAGGGGAGCGUUCUGUAAGCCUGCGAAGGUGGCCUGUGAGGGUUGCUGGAGGUAUCAGAAGUGCGAAUGCUGACAUAAGUAACGAUAAAGCGGGUGAAAAGCCCGCUCGCCGGAAGACCAAGGGUUCCUGUCCAACGUUAAUCGGGGCAGGGUGAGUCGACCCCUAAGGCGAGGCCGAAAGGCGUAGUCGAUGGGAAACGGGUUAAUAUUCCCGUACUUGGUGUUACUGCGAAGGGGGGACGGAGAAGGCUAUGUUGGCCGGGCGACGGUUGUCCCGGUUUAAGCGUGUAGGUGUGUGUUCCAGGUAAAUCCGGUUCACUUUAACACUGAGGCGUGACGACGAGGCACUACGGUGCUGAAGCAACAAAUGCCCUGCUUCCAGGAAAAGCCUCUAAGCAUCAGGUAACAUCAAAUCGUACCCCAAACCGACACAGGUGGUCAGGUAGAGAAUACCAAGGCGCUUGAGAGAACUCGGGUGAAGGAACUAGGCAAAAUGGUGCCGUAACUUCGGGAGAAGGCACGCUGACACGUAGGUGAAGUGAUUUACUCAUGGAGCUGAAGUCAGUCGAAGAUACCAGCUGGCUGCAACUGUUUAUUAAAAACACAGCACUGUGCAAACACGAAAGUGGACGUAUACGGUGUGACGCCUGCCCGGUGCCGGAAGGUUAAUUGAUGGGGUCAGCGCAAGCGAAGCUCCUGAUCGAAGCCCCGGUAAACGGCGGCCGUAACUAUAACGGUCCUAAGGUAGCGAAAUUCCUUGUCGGGUAAGUUCCGACCUGCACGAAUGGCGUAAUGAUGGCCAGGCUGUCUCCACCCGAGACUCAGUGAAAUUGAACUCGCUGUGAAGAUGCAGUGUACCCGCGGCAAGACGGAAAGACCCCGUGAACCUUUACUAUAGCUUGACACUGAACAUUGAGCCUUGAUGUGUAGGAUAGGUGGGAGGCUUUGAAGUGUGGACGCCAGUCUGCAUGGAGCCGACCUUGAAAUACCACCCUUUAAUGUUUGAUGUUCUAACGUGGACCCGUUACCCGGGUUGCGGACAGUGUCUGGUGGGUAGUUUGACUGGGGCGGUCUCCUCCUAAAGAGUAACGGAGGAGCACGAAGGUUGGCUAAUCCUGGUCGGACAUCAGGAGGUUAGUGCAAUGGCAUAAGCCAGCUUGACUGCGAGCGUGACGGCGCGAGCAGGUGCGAAAGCAGGUCAUAGUGAUCCGGUGGUUCUGAAUGGAAGGGCCAUCGCUCAACGGAUAAAAGGUACUCCGGGGAUAACAGGCUGAUACCGCCCAAGAGUUCAUAUCGACGGCGGUGUUUGGCACCUCGAUGUCGGCUCAUCACAUCCUGGGGCUGAAGUAGGUCCCAAGGGUAUGGCUGUUCGCCAUUUAAAGUGGUACGCGAGCUGGGUUUAGAACGUCGUGAGACAGUUCGGUCCCUAUCUGCCGUGGGCGCUGGAGAACUGAGGGGGGCUGCUCCUAGUACGAGAGGACCGGAGUGGACGCAUCACUGGUGUUCGGGUUGUCAUGCCAAUGGCACUGCCCGGUAGCUAAAUGCGGAAGAGAUAAGUGCUGAAAGCAUCUAAGCACGAAACUUGCCCCGAG